rnacentral:rRNA from 1 species
UAGAGUUUGAUCCUGGCUCAGAACGAACGCUGGCGGCAGGCCUAACACAUGCAAGUCGAACGGAUCCUUCGGGAUUAGUGGCAGACGGGUGAGUAACGCGUGGGAAGCUACCUUGUGGUAGGGAACAACAGUUGGAAACGACUGCUAAUACCCUAUGAGCCCUAUGGGGGAAAGAUUUAUCGCCAUGAGAUGUGCCCGCGUUAGAUUAGCUAGUUGGUAAGGUAAUGGCUUACCAAGGCGACGAUCUAUAGCUGGUCUGAGAGGAUGAUCAGCCACACUGGGACUGAGACACGGCCCAGACUCCUACGGGAGGCAGCAGUGGGGAAUAUUGGACAAUGGGGGCAACCCUGAUCCAGCCAUGCCGCGUGAGUGAUGACGGCCUUAGGGUUGUAAAGCUCUUUC